rnacentral:rRNA from 1 species
GUACGAAAGCAUGGGGAGCAAACAGGAUUAGAUACCCUGGUAGUCCAUGCCGUAAACGAUGUCUACUAGCCGUUGGGGUCUUUGAGACCUUAGUGGCGCAGCUAACGCGAUAAGUAGACCGCCUGGGGAGUACGGUCGCAAGACUAAAACUCAAAUGAAUUGACGGGGGCCCGCACAAGCGGUGGAGCAUGUGGUUUAAUUCGAUGCAACGCGAAGAACCUUACCUGGCCUUGACAUACUAAGAACUUUCCAGAGAUGGAUUGGUGCCUUCGGGAACUUAGAUACAGGUGCUGCAUCGCUGUCGUCAGCUCGUGUCGUGAGAUGUUGGGUUAAGUCCCGCAACGAGCGCAACCCUUUUCCUUAUUUGCCAGCGAGUAAUGUCGGGAACUUUAAGGAUACUGCCAGUGACAAACUGGAGGAAGGCGGGGACGACGUCAAGUCAUCAUGGCCCUUACGGCCAGGGCUACACACGUGCUACAAUGGUCGGUACAAAGGGUUGCUACCUAGCGAUAGGAUGCUAAUCUCAAAAAGCCGAUCGUAGUCCGGAUUGGAGUCUGCAACUCGACUCCAUGAUGUCGGAAUCGCUAGUAAUCGCGGAUCAGAAUGCCGCGGUGAAUACGUUCCCGGGCCUUGUACACACCGCCCGUCACACCAUGGGAGUUUGUUGCACCAGAAGUAGCUAGCCUAACAGCAAUGAGGGCGGUUACCACGGUGUGGCCGAUGACU